rnacentral:lncRNA from 1 species
UGAAAUGGGCUCCCAAAACAUGUUCCCAGUGUGGACUGCUGCAUAAGAAAAACAACUUAGCCAGGCAAUGACUGCCAUCUGGUGGCAUUUUCCUGAUGUCACAGUGGCUCCAUAUUGGAGGGGGUGGCAAAUGGCAACAUAGCGGUCAUAGGACAUGACAGUGAGAAAGGCCAGUUCAGCAGAUGCAAAAGCAGAGAAAAAGUAGACUUGAGCCACACAGCCAAGAUAAGAGAUGGAGCUGCUGUGGGUCAGAGAGCUGUGGACUGAUUUAGGCACGGUGACUGAGAUGUAGCACAAAUCCAACAAGGAGAGGUUCCUUAGGAAGAAGUACAUGGGCGUGUGAAGAUACUGAUCAAGAGUAAUGAGCAUGAUGAUGAGAAGGUUCCCCACCAGAGCUGCCAGAUAAAUCAGCAGAAACAGUCCAGCAAGUAGCAUCUGUUGCUCCCAGACAUCAGAAAACCCCAUGAGGAGGAAUUCUGUCACUUCUGUGAGAUUGUCCAUUGGGCAGAAGGUGAAACUAAGACAAAGCAAGGUCAAGUAGCUUGCCCAAGACCACUCAAAGAGCCAGAUCCUGGGCCAGCACUCAAAUCAAGGUAGUCCAUCUCCAGGAUCAGUGUCACUAACCUCUGCAUUCUACUAAUCUACUUUAAUGGGUAAUAAUUUUGGCCAACAAAACUUCAUGGACUUUUUCUAUAUAUUAAUUGAUGAUCAUCAUAUCUUUGCUUUUUCUCAGUGGUGCUGUCUGCAUGUUUAAAACAUACAUGCUUGUCUGCGUCAAAGUCAUUUGCAUGUUAGAUUCACUCUACAUGACUCUAAAGUAUUGUAACCCACAAUUUAAUAAGUUGUUUCCUAUUAUAGCCAACUUUAAAGUCAAUUUAAAAUAAGCUUAGUGAUUAUCCCUUUUAAUCAGCAUUGUUUCAUUAUCUCAUUCCAUUAGUGAUAAAUAAAGCACAUAAAUGAAUACUAUCCUUUGUGAUUAGACAAACGUGAAUGAAUGUUAUCAUUAUUUACAGGAAAGGUAGAAGCCCUUUUUUAGGAUACAUUUUGAAGAUAAUCUUCUUUCCAUAGGUUAUAAAUAAUACAGUCAGUAUGAAACACUUCAUUG